rnacentral:rRNA from 1 species
GGGGUUCCCUAACACAUUGCCAGGUCGAACGAAGGUAUGUUUUUCGGAAUAUACUUAGUGGCGGACGGGUGAGUAACGCGUGAACAAUCUGCCCUAUACAAAGGAAUAGCCUCGGGAAACUGGGAUUAAAACCGUAUAAAGCUUUCAUACCGCAUGAUAAGAAAGCCAAAUUGAAUAAGAGGUAUAGGAUGAGUUCGCGUCUGAUUAGCUAGUUGGUAGGGUAAUGGCUUACCAAGGCGACGAUCAGUAGCCGGCCUGAGAGGGUGAACGGCCACACUGGAACUGAGACACGGUCCAGACUCCUACGGGAGGCAGCAGUGGGGAAUAUUGCACAAUGGGCGAAAGCCUGAUGCAGCGACGCCGCGUGAGUGAAGAAGGUCUUCGGAUCGUAAAACUCUGUCCUUGGUGACGAAAAAAAUGACGGUAGCCAAGGAGGAAGCCCCGGCUAACUACGUGCCAGCAGCCGCGGUAAUACGUAGGGGGCGAGCGUUGUCCGGAUUUACUGGGCGUAAAGGGUGAGUAGGCGGUUGUAUAAGUCAGAUGUAAAAGGCACAGGCUUAACUUGUGUAAGCAUUUGAAACUGUACAACUUGAGUGCAGGAGAGGUAAGUGGAAUUCCUAGUGUAGCGGUGAAAUGCGUAGAUAUUAGGAGGAACACCAGUGGCGAAGGCGACUUACUGGACUGUAACUGACGCUGAGUCACGAAAGCGUGGGUAGCAAACAGGAUUAGAUACCCUGGUAGUCCACGCUGUAAACGAUGAGUGCUAGGUGUUGGCCAGCGAUGGUCAGUGCCGAAGUUAACACAAUAAGCACUCCGCCUGGGGGAGUACGGGUCGCAAGACUUGAAACUCAAAGGGAAAUUGACGGGGGACCCCGCACAAGCAGCGGAAGCAUGUGGUUUAAUUCCGAAGCAACGCGGAA